UUUUAAGAAUUUUUGCAACAGCUGGUUCACUGCUGCAUGAGUCCGUGUUGCCGACCACACUGAUAACGUAGCUCUCCCCACAGGAUAGUUGGUUAAAGGUGCAGUUGGAGCUGCUGGAGUUGCAGGUGGUGUUCAUUCCUCUGCUGUCCACCGCUGUCACCUCCUGGGUCUGGUCUGGUCCUGAGUUACCCCAGGUCACUGAUACCAUGUUAGUGCUGCACUCCAGAUUCCCCAACACCCCAUAUGGUUUACAUGGGGCUGAGGGUAAAAAGGUGGAUGAAUAAGAGAUAUAACUCUGUGGGUCGACUGACACAGGUGCUGUUGAAAGACAUCACUUUCAGUCCGUAAUCGAGUCCACACUUCAUUGUGGUGAUUGUCAGUCCCGGCAUCGUGGUGGUGUAGGACAUGUUCCAAUCGCCGUUUGAGACCACAACUAUGUAACCUUCUGCGUUACUCGUUGCAUUCCAGCUGAGAGUCAGUAUUUGUGACCCGCAGUCUAAUUUAGUGAUCACUUUGGGCCCACAAGGAACUGCACAGAGAGAAGAGAGAAAGUUUUAUUCAUUUCAAAGGACACCCUAGCAGCUAUACGGUACAGUAACCCAGAAAAACAAAAUUGAGCAGCCUCACAGUACCUGUCUCUAUGGCGACCAUCUCACUGUCAGUGCUGUUGCACACAAAGUUGGUGGCAAUGACGUACGCUGUGUAGUUUGUGCUGCACUUCAAGCCCUUGAUCUUACAUGUCAAGUCCAUGGCAUUGCAGCUGUGAAUGACACCAUUACUGUCUUUUGCCAUGGCGAUGUAGAAAAUUGCCCCGCUGGACAUUAACCAUGUCAAUGUGAUGGAGUCGGCUCCACAUUCCUUUACUGCUGAUACGUUCUGGGGCACGCAUGGGACUAGAGGAGAGGUGACAAAUCAACACAAGAAUGAAUACUACAUUUAAACCUUUUCUCUGCUGCACGUGGUCAGAGUUGAGUUUGCUAGUCCAUCCCGACUCACAAUAAUACCUGAUUGAUGGCUUACACUUUUUUUUGUCUUUGCCACAGGCCCCAGCGUCCUCGCACUGGCACAUUUGUUGUCAAAAGCUGUGAUGUAGAUGGUCAAGACCUCUCCACAGUGGACUCCCGCUAUAGCGCAGCUGUUGGACAUUGAGCUGCAGUUGUAGUAACUGUUGUUUCCUGUGUUGCCGAAAGCCUCCACAGUGUAACUUAGAGCCCCCUCGGCGAGGUCCCACUUGCUGAGCAGAACAUUUGAGUUGCAGUUGGCUGAGGUUUGCAUAUUCUGGGGUACACAGGGUGCUGGAGACAGAAAAAGUUUUUUUCAUUA